GACGAACGCUGGCGGCGUGCCUAAUACAUGCAAGUAGAACGCUGAAGAGAGGAGCUUGCUCUUCUUGGAUGAGUUGCGAACGGGUGAGUAACGCGUAGGUAACCUGCCUUGUAGCGGGGGAUAACUAUUGGAAACGAUAGCUAAUACCGCAUAACAAUGGAUGACACAUGUCAUUUAUUUGAAAGGUGCAAUUGCUCCACUACAAGAUGGACCUGCGUUGUAUUAGCUAGUAGGUGAGGUAAUGGCUCACCUAGGCGACGAUACAUAGCCGACCUGAGAGGGUGAUCGGCCACACUGGGACUGAGACACGGCCCAGACUCCUACGGGAGGCAGCAGUAGGGAAUCUUCGGCAAUGGGGGCAAGCCUGACCGAGCAACGCCGCGUGAGUGAAGAAGGUUUUCGGAUCGUAAAGCUCUGUUGUAAGUCAAGAACGGGUGUGAGAGUGGAAAGUUCACACUGUGACGGUAGCUUACCAGAAAGGGACGGCUAACUACGUG
rnacentral:rRNA from 1 species